rnacentral:rRNA from 1 species
CGAGCGGGGGAGCGUUCGCGCUUCCGCCGGCGACCGGCGCACGGGUGAGUAACACGUAUGGAACCUGCCCGCAGCGGGGGAUAAUCGGGGGAAACCCCGUCUAAUACCGCGUAACGACCCGGAGGGGCAUCCCUUCGGGUCCAAAGGUUUACCGGCUGCGGAUGGCCAUGCGUCGCAUUAGCUUGUUGGCGGGGUAACGGCCCACCAAGGCGACGAUGCGUAGGGGUUCUGAGAGGAAGGUCCCCCACACUGGUACUGAGACACGGACCAGACUCCUACGGAAGGCAGCAG